rnacentral:lncRNA from 1 species
UCCCGAACAUCCGGUGACACCACGUGACCACCCGAGCUGCUCGAAUCAUCCUCUUGCAGUGUAGGGUAAGUCGAGCCCGAUGUAUCAAAAGGCGAUGAUGAUUGAUCCGCCAUUGUCGUCGUGGUCCUCGGUUUCUCAUCCGCGGGGUAAUAUUUCUCCAUGGUUCCUUUCUUGUUGUAGAUUCGACAUAAAACCCAAUCAUCAAGCUGUAACAAAAACACACAACAACAAAGUUAGUAAUCUAACUCAUCAUCAUCAAAUUCAGGAAAAGAUGAAAGAAGAAAAAGAAACAGAACAUACUCGUAGGUUGUUCUUUUUGUUUAAAGAAGCUGAUCUAUCGACAUUAGCGAGACGAUACUCGUGCAUAAUCCAAUUGGUUUUGAUCCCUUUUGGAGCUUUCCCAGCGUAGAAGACGAGUGCUUUCUUUAUACCCAAGGUCUUCGGUUUACCGAUUGGUUUAUCUGCUCCGGUCGCUUUCCAAUAACCGGUUCCUGCUGCUCGGUUUGGACGAGAACCGUUUGGGUAUUUCCGGUCUCUGGGUGAGAAGAAGUACCACUCUUUCUCUCCGUACAAAGACAUGUCUGAAAGAAGAACAAAACUCAGAUUAACAACGAUUCUCUGAAAAGAAAACACCUCGAAAAUGGUUAGAAGCCCAUAGAUAUCUACCUGGAAGCUCCCAAGGAUUGAACUUGUAGAGAUCAAUUUCGGCGAUAACCGGAGCUGAGAUCGGCUCCGAUGCGCAUUUCCGGCAUAAGUAGAAUUUCACAAGCUCCUCGUCCGUCGGAUGGAAUCGGAAUCCUGCCGGUAAGUUUAGCUCUGCUUUCAUUCUCAAAGUUCUCGUCUUUUUCUUUUUUGUUGCUCUUCAAAAUUUUCUUCUUCUUCUUUCAAAUUUCACUCGGAUCUGAGUUUCUAUUUUCG